GAUGAACGCUAGCGGCAGGCUUAAUACAUGCAAGUCGAGGGGCAGCAUGAUUGUAGCAAUACAAUUGAUGGCGACCGGCAAACGGGUGCGGAACACGUACACAACCUUCCAAUAAGUGGGGAAUAGCCCAGAGAAAUUUGGAUUAAUACCCCGUAACAUAACGAUGUGGCAUCACAUUGUUAUUAUAGAUUUUUCGCUUAUUGAUGGGUGUGCGGCUGAUUAGAUAGUUGGCGGGGUAACGGCCCACCAAGUCUACGAUCAGUAGCUGAUGUGAGAUCAUGCUCAGCCACACGGGCACUGAGACACGGGCCCGACUCCUCCGGGAGGCAGCAGUAAGGAAUAUUGGACAAUGGACGCAAGUCUGAUCCAGCCAUGCCGCGUGAAGGAUUAAGGUCCUCUGGAUUGUAAACUUCUUUUAUAAGGGACGAAAAAAGGCUUUUCUAAGUCGUCUGACGGUACCUUAUGAAUAAGCACCGGCUAACUCCGUGCCAGCCGCCGCCGUAAGAC
rnacentral:rRNA from 1 species